GACACGUGACAUCCCGGCAAUUUUGAGGGGGAAAAAAAACACUUUUUAUUGGAGUUGCCUCUAGAUGGACAUGCAUAUUCAUUCAUGUGAUGGGGCAGUUGCAUAGCGUAGAAAGGAUAGGCGGGAACUCCCAUUUUUAGGGCGGAGAGACAUGUAUCUUGUCAGUAUAUCCAUUAUUUUUGGCUAAAUACAAACGAGAUAAUCCCGUGUUGAAAUGGAUUGAGAUUACGUCAACUAAAAAACGAUAGAUUUUUUGCCACACCUAUCAGUCAUUGAGAUAUAUAUGAAUAAUUAUAUGUUCGUGGAUUUCAUUGUUUUUUUUUAGCUCGCCAUGACUCUGAGCAUGUCUCCGGCUGCGGUGUGCCAGUGCUUUACGCUGGUGUCACUGUGCACAUCCAUCGCCGACCCAAACUGGAUCCAAGUCAUGAACAACACUGACCCUGGAGGCAAACAGCUCAUCUAUGGUGUGGCUUUCAUACUGCAUGCUCCCCAGAACCUCACUGACACAGGUCCCCUGGGUGGUGUAAAUGGCUGGGGGGUGUGGCUGCUCUAUGCCCUGGCGGCUCUGUGCUACAGUGCUGUCCUGCUCUCCAGCUCCUCCUUCCUAUUGGACUUUCUGGGGACUGGGAUGUCCCACCCUCGACUGGUGGUGUUACUCCACAUCUCCACAGUGGUUCUCCUCCUGUCUGUUCUGGGAAUGUGUGGGGCCUGCCUGUACAUCAUCCACUGCAACCUUCAGGAGGGCAAGCUUGGGCCACUGUGGGAAUGGGUGGGGGGCUGGACCUGGCCUGGGUCUGGCUCCAGGAGCCAGGGAGGGGUGGCGGGGAUGAAGCCUUACCCAGGGGAGAGCUUCUACAUCACCAUGCUGGGCCUGCUCUUCUCCUGCCUGGCCGGUGUGAUCAGCCUGAGCACCCUGGGGGACCCCACCUCCACCCAGAGGGACUACACAGCUGUGGUGGAGUGGGAUGACAGUGACACAGAGCCCCUUACCCCCAGGGAGCAGGGAGUGGGACAGUCUGACGAAGAGGAGGGGGUAGGAGACGUGUUGCCUGAAAUUACUCAGGGGGAGGUGGGUGGAAGUGGAGACUCCUAAAGGGGUUUCUCAGACCACUAGAGGUAGAGGUUUGAAUGUGUGGCCCAAAAUGGCUUAGUUUCGGGCUAGAAUGAAAACCAGGACCACACCACACAUGGCCUGUAACAGACUUAAUUAGACAGCAGUGCUGGCGCCUUCCCUGUUCAUGUUUUGAAUCCCUAUUGCUUCACUGGACCAAGCUGGUGGAAUCCAGCCAGGAGCCAAAAAAGAGACCAGAUACGUUUCCUAAUGUUGUUUUAAUGUUUGUCUGCCUAAAACAUGCCUUCUCGGGGUAUGUACAGUUGCACAACAUCAAGUCAAUAACCCAUUUACCCAUUUUUCCUUGUGGGAGUUUAUGCCCAGCGUCUCACACUUGACCCGACCAAGAUAAAUCGUUCUUUGGCUAGCUGUGAUAUUUGGAAAAGUGUGACAAGAAUGUAACACGGUUAAGCUAUUUCUGUCUGUGUGUGACCAGGGAAAGUGAGAGUCUGUAUGUUAUAAUUGAUGUGUGAUGCAAAUGAUAUGCCCUUCCUGCUCAUCAAUGGGAACAAGCUUUGACCCUGUUCACAUUACUGCAAAAUAACCACUGGGGAAUGUUCCGGAUCAGCGAAUGGUUUGUAACAGUUCAGAACCAGAAAAUAUGUUCAAUGAGCAGAAGUUCAGACUGCUUAACAUUGCGAUCCUAACACAGUACAAUCACCUAUUCUCCUCUUCUAGUUAACAUAAAAAUCCCUAGAGAAAGGUUUUUCUGAUUAUUUUCUUUUUAACAGGUUGUUUUUUAACGUAUGCAUUAUUUGAACUUCUUAAACCCUUUGCACAGUCUUCCAUAGUGACACUUUAAGUUUAAUCACAGAUUUCUAUGGAAGAUUUACCUGAAGUAUACUGAAACUGGAGUUUCCUCUGAGAAAUUCCAUUUAAAAAGCCCAUUUGGCUUCUAUUAUGGCCACUAUAGCUUUAAUCACAAAUUGAGGAACUAUUUAUUAGCAUGGUUGUUUACUACUAUAGGAAAGAUUGAGUGGGAAUAUGAAGUCUUUCCUUUCCACAGUAGGUAGUGUAAAUACAUGGCUCUUGCCUUUAAAUGACUUGCUAUCUAGUCAUAUUUGAAUAUGAUGUAUUAAAUAUUUGAUGUGCUUAAAUAUUUAUUGUUUCAUAAAAUGACACUGCUAUUGGUCACUAGAUACCUCAGAUCACUGUGAAAAUAUAUCCCAGUUUGGCAUCUUUAGGCGUCUACAUUACAGCACAAACCACUGUAUGUAUGCAUAUCCUACUUGAAGGUAACCAAUAAGACAAGCUCCUUGAUGGCGCUUGGUUGCAUGUGACGGUAGGGCCAUGGAUAUCGACUUGAUAAAUUAAGAUGUCUGCCUAGAAUCAGGUUUUCCUUACCCGCUUAUACCCUCAAGGCCUUUUUCCUGGACACAGAUUAAUCUUAGUCCUGGACUAGGAAACAUUUUCAAUGGAGAUUUUCGAUGGAGGUUUUUAGUUCAAGACUAGGCUUAAUAUGUGUCUGGGAAACCGUCCCUCAAUCUUUUCCUCAGGUACAUAGGAAGACGUUCCUUCUCUUAUUCCAGGGUCACAGUCCCAUCUCUAUGAAUCCGACUUUUCAUUGUUGUUGUUUAUGAUGCUAUUUAUUCAUUAAACUACUUUUGCGUAUUUGUAAAACAUGUGUACAUGCAUUUUCUUUUUGUUCCAGAACAGAAG
ensembl:lncRNA